UCAGGUACAUGUAAACCAUCUUGGAAAGAAGACUAAAAUCUCCAAGCCAAGACUCAAGCUCUGGGAGCCUGCCCGUCUAAGUUGCUUCUUAAUCCUACUGUGGUUUCACACCAAUUAGUAUCAACUAAUCUUAUACUCUGAAACCUGCAAUAUGAUCCACGUUUGCGCUCAAGAAAAUCUAGUCCAAAAAGUUCACCUGUGGAAGAGGAACUUCAUAGUGGAGAAACCUGACAAGCGAUACUUCAGGCAGGUGACCAAGAUCAACACCAACAGCAAGAAGCAUCAUUGAUAGUAUGUACCCUUGAUAUGACAUGAUGAAAAUGACGUUACCUCUGUGUUCUCUCUCCCAGUAACACAUAGCCCCAGUUUGAUCACAAGAAAAACAUCAGACCAAUCCCAGCUGAAGGAAAUUCUGCAAAAUACCUGACCAAUACUUCUUAAAUGUGUCAAGAUAAUAAAAAACAAGGGAAUGUGAGAAACUGUUACAGCCAAGAGAAAGUUAAGGAGACAUAGCAACAAAACAUAAUAAAGUAUCCUGGAUGGGAUCCUGGAAUAAAAGAAGGGCAUUAUGUUUCCUGAGCUAAUGAAAUUGAAAUAAAAUAUGGACUUUAAUAAUAAUGUAUCAGUUUUGGUUCCUUAAUAAUAACAAAGGUGUCAGCCUAAGGUAAGAUGUUAAUAAUUAGGGAAACAGUGUAAAGUAUA